GAAAAUAAAAAGUUUAUGAUUUACUAUUAUAAAACAAGUCUUGACUGUACUAUGAAUACAAUUUACAUUGAAGUUUUUAAAAAAAAUUCUAUGCAUACAAAGCUGUCUAUUUUUAGAGCCCCAAGUGUGUGCCAAGCAUUGUGUUAAGUUCUGGGGAUACAGUAAUUGACAAGAAAGACAGAUCACAUAUCCUUACCUUUAAAACCUUUCACUGCAAUUGGCUCUUUUUCUGACAAUGUCGUUUUACAUAGUCACUGAACGAUAAAUUCUGAGUUCUCUGAAACUCUCUUCGUUGUCUUGCUGAGAAGUUAACAACCAGCAUGACACUUUGAAUUAAUUCUCAAAGUGCUUAUGCUAAUAAGAUUGUCUCCCCUCAAGGCUUUUCAUUAAAUAUAAUUGUAAAAAUUACAUUUCUUUAAGGCCAGUAAAAGAAAUCAAGGUAUUUAAUUUCUGAUUUCCACAUAAUUAAGUGAAUAAUGGAGGGGAAGAAUAUUUCAGCUAGAGGGAAUAGUACAUAGGUUGGCCCUGAGAUGAAAGAGGGCUUGUCUUCUUCAUGGGACUGGAAGAAGAGAGUAUAGCUACAGUAUGGUGAGCAAGAGAGAGAGGAGCACAAGACACAUCUGAAAAGUUCAGCAGGGAUCAGUCCAUAUUGGCCUUUGAGGCUAAGAUAAGAAGUUUGGUUUUUAUUUUAUGUUCAAUGGGAAGCCACUGACACAACGUAUCCAUCAAAAGUGUUCUGUGAAGACAACCUUGAGUUUGUACAACACAUCUGUUUAUAAAAUAGGUACCUGGGAGGACAAUCAAUAUUGGCAGAACUAGCUCCAGGAUUCUGAGCUCCAUUUUACCGGUUCAUGCUUCACUCUAUCUCUUCAUUUCUCCAUUGUUAAUUGUUGCCUUCCUCUGCUUCUCUGUAUUCACCUCCCUAUUAGUCUUUCAAUGCAUUCCAUCCUCCUAGUCUUU
rnacentral:lncRNA from 10 species